GCGGAGGAAAAGAAACCAACCGGGAUUGCCUUAGUAACGGCGAGUGAAGCGGCAAAAAGCUCAAAUUUGAAAUCUGGUACCUUCGGUGCCCGAGUUGUAAUUUGGAGAGGGCAACUUUGGGGCCGUUCCUUGUCUAUGUUCCUUGGAACAGGACGUCAUAGAGGGUGAGAAUCCCGUGUGGCGAGGAGUGCGGUUCUUUGUAAAGUGCCUUCGAAGAGUCGAGUUGUUUGGGAAUGCAGCUCUAAGUGGGUGGUAAAUUCCAUCUAAAGCUAAAUAUUGGCGAGAGACCGAUAGCGAACAAGUACAGUGAUGGAAAGAUGAAAAGAACUUUGAAAAGAGAGUGAAAAAGUACGUGAAAUUGUUGAAAGGGAAGGGCAUUUGAUCAGACAUGGUGUUUUGUGCCCUCUGCUCCUUGUGGGUAGGGGAAUCUCGCAUUUCACUGGGCCAGCAUCAGUUUUGGUGGCAGGAUAAAUCCAUAGGAAUGUAGCUUGCCUCGGUAAGUAUUAUAGCCUGUGGGAAUACUGCCAGCUGGGACUGAGGACUGCGACGUAAGUCAAGGAUGCUGGCAUAAUGGUUAUAUGCCGCCCGUCUUG
rnacentral:rRNA from 1 species